rnacentral:rRNA from 1 species
CUCGUAGGCGGUUUGUCGCGUCGGGAGUGAAAACACUGGGCUUAACCGAGUGCUUGCUUUCGAUACGGGCAGACUAGAGGCAUUCAGGGGAGAACGGAAUUCCUAGUGUAGCGGUGAAAUGCGCAGAUAUUAGGAGGAACACCGGUGGCGAAGGCGGUUCUCUGGGAAUGUCCUGACGCUGAGGAGCGAAAGUGUGGGGAGCGAACA